GAACCUCUGACGAUCAUCGUGAAUGUCC
rnacentral:ncRNA from 1 species